GGAGAUGUAGCUCAGUUGGUAGAGUGCUUGCCUUCCACGCACGAGGCAUGGGUUCAAUCCCUAGCACCA
rnacentral:tRNA from 1 species